CCGACUUAGUUCGGUCAUGGAAAGCCCCAAUUUGGCUAGCAGUCACUAUGUGUCUUCAGUCAACGGUAUCAAGAAAUUCGCUUUCUUCUUAACACGCGAAGUAAAUAGCAUGAGAACAUCUUUGUCCUCUAUUGCUAGACGUAGCAGACCAAUUCAAACGGACUGGUCUCUGCAAGAGACUGUGGUUGCUUAUUUGAGCGACCGAGGGCCGAGAUUACCCAAGCAUGGAUUUGAUUAUUUGGUGAGAGCGCACCCAAGGAGCGCACAGCACAAGUAUAACGCUGUACGGUCACAUGGUGUCAAACAAGCAACAAUACCAUCAAUUGAGUGUAUUCUCAUUUGCGUAGGUGAGAAAAUACGUGUUUUUCUAUCUAAAUUGCUCACAUCGUCAAGCAUAUACAGUUGUUUUGUCUGAAUAUAUUAUUUGAAUAAAGAUUUAACAGACGAGAGCUUUUCUCUUAAUUUAUUGAUAAAAAAUAACUCUAUGUAUAAAGUCCAAUAUACGAAACAGCCUGCGGUACUUUUAUUCUAUUGAAACCUCACUUAUGUGCCGGUACUGUAUGAAAAAGAUAGGACCAUUUUUUUUAUUGAAUUUUCCUGAAAAAACUGCAGGUCAUAACAUUAUAUGGACUGUCGUAUGAGCAAAACGAAUGUAGAUUCGGUAAUAGAAUGGGGAGUAAGGAGGAUAUAUUUGGAAAAAAGCGGCAUUUGAAUGAAAUGUCAAACGCUGAAUUACCAAAGGCGUUUACUUCGUCAAAUCGUAAUCAUUGGCAAAAAAGAUCAAGAAGCGAUAAAGCCUUUGAACCGCUAGUCGAAAGUUUGUUUAAAAAACAAUUCUUAAUUGAAAACGAUAACUUCAUUAUCCCUAAACCAGAAACAAUGUUUACCGAUAAUCCAUGGGAUAUAAAUAGGCUACAAAUAUUGAAAAGAGAGCUAAACGAUAUAAAAAACAAGUUAAACGAUUAUGACAUCGCCACGUGGCAUCAGCACACAAGCCGAAGAAACAGAGCUGGAGAUGUGCAGUGGCGUCUCCGUAAUGAAAUAGAUCCGGAAUUCCUGACUCAGGCAUGGUGUAAAUUUUAUGAAAAUGUAUCUUGUUUCCCAUUGGUACCAAACACUGCUGUAAAGGCUGAGAAACUUUUGUCAGUUCACCUGUGUGAGGCACCUGGUGCUUUCAUUACAUCUUUAAAUCACUGGUUAAGGUUGAACGCACCUAAUGUACAAUGGGACUGGACUGCUAUGACAUUAAAUCCAUAUUAUGAAGGGAACCCUCUUUCUUGUAUGAUAAAUGACGAUAGAUUUAUCAUAUCCUCCUUGAAUCAAUGGUGCUUCGGCAGUGAUUAUACUGGGAAUCUGAUGAAUCUAAAAAACAUGAUGAAUCUGGUUGAAAAGUGUCAAGAAAAAGGAGAUGUAUUAUUGGUUACAGCUGAUGGCAGUAUAGAUUGUACUAAUGAUCCUGGAGAGCAAGAAUCAACCGUUGCACCGUUGCAUUAUUGCGAAGCAGUCACAGGCCUUUUGCUACUAUCCGAGCACGGAAGUCUACUCCUGAAAAUGUUUACAAUAUUUGAACAUGAUUCAUUGUGCUUAGUUUACCUUAUUUCCUGUUUGUUCCAUCAAGUAUUUAUAAACAAGCCUGCAACCAGCAAAGAGGGAAAUUCUGAAAUAUAUUUGGUAUGCUUGGAUUAUCGAGGACCAAGCUAUAUUGCUCCUUAUUUGAACAUAUUGAAAAAAUAUUAUGAGAAACGUCCAGAUAAAUCAAUGUUCCGUAAAGAGGAUAUACCAGAUGAAUUUUUCCAACAAAUGAUCUCAUGCGGCGAGUUCUUCAAAGCUUAUCAGAGUGAAGUGAUAUUAAAGAAUAUAGAAGCCUAUCAUUGCGGCGAGGAUAAUGGACAGUUAGAUUUUGAAACUAAAAAAAUUAAACGCCUUGUUGCAAAUAAAUUCAUAUCAACGUAUGGUCUUCGAAAACUGGAAAAUGAAAGUUUAGAAGUAGUUGGAAAAACUAAACUGACACACAUCCAUUCCAUCAAUUUGGAUCCAAGAAUACCAGAUGGCUCAUACAAUAGACGGCGAGUAAUGGAAAAUCUAGAGCCAGAAUGCCUUCUCUUAACGCUAUGUCAAAAUCUAAUUCCAAUUCAAGUUCGAGAAAUGACACGGUGGUUUACAUUCACAGGACCUUUGGAUGCAUUGCAAAUCUGCUGUGGAAAAUUGUUUCUGAAAGUGCAGAGUUCUAAAUUCUGUACAGGAAAGUUUUUGAAAAUUCGUAACAGAGUUUUUGAACUAUCGGAAAAACUUGGUAUUGAUCAUCCCUGCAGUCAAGUAGAAUCCAUUCGAAACUUUGUAAAUGUGUUAGAAAGUGAUACGAAGAAUUAUAAGUAUUUGGGUUUUGAACCAUCAAUUACACAAAACAAUAACAGUAGUUUAAGCAAGAUAAAUAAAGAACUGGAGAACAUACUAGAAGGGGACAGUCUGGUUUUGAUUGGCUAUUCUUUGUUAACUCAGUUGAAUGUAGGAAUUCUAUACAUAUUGGCCCACACAUUUAAAUCACUCGGUGUGAUAUUGGAUGAAAAAUUUGGCUGCAUAAUUAUAUUGAAGCAUAAUUUACACACUAAAAGUAUAUUGGAGUGUUUUAAAGAAGUUCUCAAUGCUACGAUUAAAGCUGAAGCCUCUGGUGAAUCUGUACUAUCAGUUUUACCUGUCACAAAACUUUGUGGUAAGAAUAAAGCUUUGUCCAUCCUAAGUAAUUUUCUUAUUAAAUCAAACACUCUAUUACAAAUUUCUUACCAAUUUCAUACUUUUAGAAAGCGAUCUUUAUCCCAACAUCGUUGACGCUAAUCAUUGGACCAUCGCGCACUGUGUGAAAGGAAUUGGUGAAUGUGUGCAAAAAAAGUUAUCAACACAAAUGGGAAUUACUGGACACAGUUAAAUAAACUUCGAAAUAUUUGUACAGAGCAAUGUAAUAUUUUAUGCAAGAAUUUUAUGACUCAUCCAAACUGGAUACGUUGAUGCGAUUUAUGAAUUAUAUACUUAUCUGACGAAUAAAUAGUAUAAAUGAGACAUUGAGAAUAUAUUCUUUAACAUACCUUGUAGGUCUCUAAGUUUCCAUAUCGAUAGAUAAGUAUGCUAUACAUACUUAUGUUUUAUUCAUCGCACAUUGACCUAAAUGCCCGUAUUUGAAGUUACUUUUACGUGGUAUACUCUACCGGUGAUGCCCAAGAUAAAAUCAAAAGCUCUUUCUGUAGCAAAGCAGUUAAUAUACCUAGUUUUCUUGAAAUAGUUGCGUAAUACUUCAGAGUUCUUCAGCUACUCAUUCUAACUGCUCUAGAUUAGACCGAGUGUUUCUAAGUGUAGUGAAGGUGGCGUAUUAUCAAUUAAU
rnacentral:misc_RNA from 1 species